CGUGAUCCGCCCACCUCAGCCUCCCAAAGUGCUGGGAUUACAGGCGUGAGCCACCGCACCUGGCCAAGAAGCAUUUUCUAAACUAAUCUUCUCCUACAAAUAGCCCCUGGACCUUGAGGAUCAUAAAUGGUCAUCAUUUAACAUUUUUUUCUGCUAGAAGUAUUGAGCCUCUUUGUUGUAUUGAGACCAAAAGAAGAUCUGUCACCCCCCUCCACUCCCCUACAGAUGUACAUACAACUUUCGGCAAUCUCAGAGAGUUUGAAGCUACAAUUCUAUUACAAACGACGUGCUACAAGUAUGCUUUUAAAAUAAAUUAUUUUUCCAGUUUUUUCACUUUAACCUCUGCCCCAGUGGUCGUAAAAACAGAGGCAUGGAGACUGAGUUCUUUUCUGUGGACCAUUAUGCAUCUAUCUUUUCCAAUAGUUUCCUUUGCCUCUGCUCUUUUUUGCUGUACAAAGACAGAAAUUUCUAAACAGAGCCUUUAAUAGUCCAUUACUUUUUACCCAUGUUAUGCAAUGUAGCUUUAAAGACGAACUUUUCCAGCAAACUGCUGCUUGUGUGAAUGCCUGUUUGGGAGUGAGACUUCCCUACUGGAAAAAUAACUAACACACACUACACCAUAGUUACGAUUACAUCACAAUAAAUAUUCUAUGCAGGACUAGGAACAGUUCCUCAAAGAAAAAUGCUUGGGGAACGGGUAAUUGGAAUGAACUACAAGCAUUUUCACUGAGCUCAAAGAAACUGCAAGAAAAAAGAUCUUCGAUCUGCAUCCAAGUAUUUUUUUUGUCUGAAAGAACACUGUGUGAGGAAUUUUGACAUUCUCUGCAUUCUAAUGAAAAUGACUUGGAAAGUAGAGGCUUCUCUAUACAUUUGCCUCAUUGCCGCCACGAUGGGCACCGUUUAUCAGGAAUAAAGAGAGAAGAUCAAGAAAGUAGUUCUUUUCUGGAGAAUUUUGUGCUCUGGCUCUUAAGUACUUUUGCUUUGCCAUGAAUGUGAAUAUUUUAAAGGCCAAAAAAGCCCCCUCCAUUUGAGUUGCAGAUGGCCACAGGAACCCAACAAGAAUGCUAACAACUCAUUUUAAAAAGGGAAAAAGAAAGGAAGUGCCAAGUUCCACACUGCAUAUCCAUACUGAUGUUGAGCCCAUCUUGGCCUAGCUGGUAGAACUGAAAAUUGAGAAUAAUAUUAAGGGGCUGCAAUGAUCCCUAAGGGUAAAAAUAAAUGUGUUUCUGAAAACAACAGCCACAUCCACAAUGAAAUAGACAUGAAACAAGAUAACCCAAGAACACAUUUGUUUUCCUUGUAACAGGGAUGCGUUAAGUUCAUUAUUCAGAGGACUUUGAUUACCCUUUUCAAAGAUUUUUGGGUGACAGUGAUCCAGGAUGAAGGUCCUUUGACUAUACAUUUCAGCGUUCAAUUGAGUGUUGGAAGCAAUCAGAAGACUGGAAGCAAUUUACUAAUAAGAGAACAUGCCCUACAGCUCUGGCCUGUGAAAAGAGUUUCAGAAUCACGAUGUAGCCACAAGUCAAAUUCUAGAAAGAAUUAAUGGCACAUCUCAUAGUUCUUUCAUUUGCUGGCUGAUUCAUUCCAGAGUGGUUUUGAGGACAGAAUGAAGCAAGAUGAAAAACAGCACUUUGAAAAUGGAGUGUGUGGUAUUCAUCUUAGAUACACUUUUAGAGAAGAAGAAAUGUGUCUCAGAAAAAGGACCUCUUCUGACUCAAAUUUAGCUUACAUCCCCUUCUCAACCAUAUCCCAGGUGAUAAAAUAUGACACCCAGCAGAAAUUCCAUCCAAACACAGGAAAGAAGCAGGCCCGGGGGCUUGGAGAUGAUACUUGUCCAGAAAUCCCAUGAUUAUUUUGCUAUAGCAGACGAUGACCUUCUCAAAGGAAGCCUAUCAAACGCUCAAGAUAAAUAAUGAGAAGGUCUCUCUCUCCUGCCUCCAGGAAAAAACUGCACAGAGGAAAAAUGUUUGCUAAACCAUUAAUAUGUUCAUCCCAGGAUGGGAAGCAGCUUGGUCUAAAAGAAACAGAGUGGCACAUGUGUUUGUGUGUGACCAGUGGCCCCAUUCAACAGGACUCCUGGGGCAGCAUCCAUGGAGGGGCCUCAGGAGACACACCUAAGCCCUUUACCCAGUAACGUCGGAAAUGAAUGUUUCUCUGGUGGCAGACAGGGUACCUUCUAAACCUCUUGACUCAUGAGCAAAUUAACUCAAGGUAAGGAAGCACUGGGUAAUGCCGUCUCUCAACAACCUAGAAAAAACAUGGUUCUGCUUUACUAGGCCCUGGAACUACAAUUAAUGGUAAUGAAUUCCCUCUUCCCUCACAUUCCCACCUUCCCACCAGGCAGCAAAUACUCAGGUGGCAAAAGAAGCUUUCUGUCUGUUUUUCUCCCCAUGGAAGCAAGGUUUCGCAGAGUAGGUAGAGAGCUGCAGUAGAAAUUGCAACUUUCCCAUGAUUUAAGUGCUUUGGCUGCCCUGGAGAAUGGGGCUGAUUUCUCAGGGCAAAAGUCAACUCUCCAUCCAUUUAUGGCUCUUGUCCAAUCUAUGGACAGCUGAAGACACAGAUCUUAACUCCAGGAGUUGGUGUAAGAUCCUUCCCAGCAGUGAAAUGGAAAGAGUUUUCAAAGACAUAGGGUCCUCUAUGGGAAGAGGUGGGAGAGUCAGGAGGUGAGGAAGAAAAUUUUCUAUUCCAAGGCAAGCUCAGGAAUCAAUGGGCUGAACCAAGUAGUACCCAAUGGCUGGGUAGGGGCAAGGGUAAAAAAGCAAUCUCAAAAGUAAUCAGGAUUCAAAUGAUCCAGGGAUUUGCAGAUAAAAUUAAAACUGCUCAGCAACACUUCAGGAGAAAAAGUCAGUAGCAUGCAGAUAGUUAUCAAGCACAUUAUUUUGCCAGCCAGCUGAGGAUGGCAGCAAGCUAAAUUUUGAGUCCAGAAAGGUGGUUAGGGUUUCUGUGCUCUGGAUUGUACAUCUUCCUCUCUCUAACUUGUUCUCCCCACCUUUUAGGAUGGCCAACACCCUCUUAUCACUUGAGACUCAGAAGAAGGGAAAUCUCCUCUGAAUUCUUUUCUGACCAGGGGCCCUGAUGACUGCCCCUUGUUGUCCCUUCAUCCCUGUGUGGACCAUUCUCAUGGCAUGGUGGGUAUUUACUGUGUAUAUCGGUUGCCAUAGCUCAGUCUCCCUUGUAGGGACUGAACCUAUUUAUCUUCACAUCUCUUGUGGCCAGAACACACCUGGCAUAUAGGUGGUCCAUAAAUGCUAGUGGAAUAAAAGGAGGAUGCUAAUUAUGUUUAUUUACUGGUCAUCCUUUUCCCCCCUAUCACUUUAACUUUCACCUCUCUAAUGCCCUUUAAUGUCCUUGAAAGCGAUUGAAUUCCUAAGACAAGCUGCCAUACUUUCUGGUGGAGAAUACACAUUUAUUUCCUGAAGGGUAGUUAAUGUCUAAUCACCCAGAAGACAUUUAGGUUUCUUUUAUUUAGAAAGCGGAGAUAAUAACUCCCCCAGUAAGUAAACAGGAAAAUAGACUUUGUUCUUCAAAAAAAAUUUGAUUAACAUAGUUUCAAGGAACAUUUCUACUGUUGUAAACCAAGGUUCUUGAAAUAAUCAACAACAUUACAGAUUGCAAGGUUAGAGAUUAAAACAUGCAAAAUAAGUGGAAUCAUACCAUUUAGCAAUGGAAAGACAGACUAUGUCGGUGAGGUGUUUUAAAUACCCAAACAGUUUUAUGACAAAAAAAAUCCUCACUAUAAACAAAAUGAAUUAGGGAUUUGCCUUGGAAUGAAGGUUUAAAAAUAAUGGGAUGAGUUUAAAGAAUACUGCAGGCCCUUAAAGACGAUGAGAGAUUUUGAGAGGCCUGAGUGACUUCAGUGGGGUCCAUCCCUAAAAUAAUGAAGGACUAAGUAAGUCAAACCUUAGGGUCGCCUCUGCAGAUCUUUAGCCUGGCCUGUGCAAUUGUAUUGCACAGAGGAAUACAAUAUGGCAGGAACAGACCAAUGUAACAGGUAGCAAUUGUUCACGCACCAGAUCUGGCACCAGCUACCAGAGGGAGGGUGAAAGAGGGGAAAAUUAUCUUUUCUUCAACUCUGUGAAGACUUAGAGUUUCAGAUAGUUAAAUGUGAGUGGGCUGGUGUUUCCUCUUUGCUAGAUUUAGUGUGUGCGGUUUCUCUGCCAUGUAUAUCUAUAGUUCUCUAAAGUGACUGGAGAAAUACUUUUCCUUAAAUCAGUGGUAAAGAAGUUACUGGCAAAAUGUCCCUUAAAUAUUCCUGUUGGGUGCUACCAAAGGAUUAUUUAAAAUCAUGAAAAUAAUCCAAAAGCUGCUCCCACUGGAAAAUGACUAGGAGAAAGAUGUUUAAAUUCAAAACUGCUAAGCACGGACACCUACCUAAACACACACACACACACACACACACACACACACACACACACACACCCUUCCUCUGAAGCUUUCCAGGGAUAGCUAUAGAAAUUUCAUUUUAAGCAAGGGAAAAAAAAAUAGAAUCACCCCCUCACAAAAAUGUUUGAGUAUAUUUUGGUCUCUUGGUCAGGGCCAAUAAAGAUCUCUUGUUGUGAGCCAACUAGAACAGAAAUGGAGUGAGAGAUGUACUACUUUAUGUGGUCUGAAUGUGAUUAGCGAUUAGCGCUGGUGGCUUCAGUCACUUGGGAAUGGCAAUCAGGGUUUUGCUCCUGCAACUCUGAACGACUACAAAACACCCUUGGCUUCCAUCCCAUAUGAUGAUGGGAUAUUAACUGAAAAUCUAAUUAAUCUGUGAAUGAAUUAUGGCCUAAGAAAUAUACCAUUUUAUAAUCAAUUUUAAGCGAGUCCCUAACAGAAGAUAAGAUGAAGAAAAAGCUGUAAAAUUGUAAGAGGUUGGUACAUUCUGUUCACUAUGACUGAUGAUUUUAAGGGGGAUAAUUUUACAAUCCAUCACAUUUUUGUCAUUUUAAAAAUCAUGCCUCCCAAUGAAUGUUGUAAAUUAACUUUAGAAUUUACAUAUUUAUUAAAAAUUGUAUAGAAAACAGCAGGAACUGUGCCCCAUUUGAAUAAUAAAAUAACUUGUUAUUCCACUGAAGACAAAAACACACAAAAAAAUCAAAAGAUUUUAUUUUCAGGUAAUAAUCAUAUUAAUUGCUAUCUGAAUUAGUUAAACCAAGAAUUAAUAUUCACCAGAGGCAGUGACACAGCAUUAAAGAUAAUCCUCCAAAUUCCCAUUUUCAAACAUGUCUCAGAACAUGUAAAAGCAAGGGAAAGACAAAUGGGGAGGUGAGGACCAUGUUCUUAGCCUGCGGGGUUGGGCAGCAGCAGAUGUUUGAAGCUGAGCUACAUCACCUGGGGGAAGGGGAGGUGCAGACAGCAAAACACAUGAUUUGGCUCUGAGAUGAAGAAGCACAGGACUUCAUUUUAAAAGCCUCUUUGCUUGUGAGGCUGAGGUGGGCAGAUCGUUUCAGACCAGGAGUUCGAGAUCACCCUGGGCAACACGGUGAGACUCUAUCUCUACAAAAAAUACAAAAAUUAGCUGAGUGUGGUGGCAGGCACCUGUGGUCCCACCUACUUGGGAGGCAGAGGUGGGAGGAUUGAUCAAGCCCAGGAGAUUGAGGCUACAGUGAGCCGUGAUGGCACCACUGUACUCUAGCCUGCGUGGUGGAAUGAGACACCAACUCAAAAAAAAAAAAAAAAAAAAGCCUCUUUCCAAAAAGAUUCUCUACUCUACUUCUCCUACUUUGGUUGAACUCCCUACCCAGAAUGGAAGGUUUGCUGGAGGCAACAGAACAUCCCAGAUGACUCCAGAGCAUGCAGGGAAAUAACCAGAAGGGCAUGGAACCAUGCCACAUAACAUGUGGGUGAAUACAACCAUUCACUCUAGAUUAACCUCAUAAUGGACUGUCAACUCAAAGAACUGGCUCCAAGAUAGGAACUGCAUGGAUUCAUCCACAGAAGGAUGAAGGGGUCAAGGGGAAUAGAACUGGUGUGUUACCACAUGUACUCACUAGUAAGAGUAACCCAUUGGGCUGAACUGACACAAGAUGUUCUCUUGAAAUUCCUGAGAGAUGAGGGAGAAGGAUAAUGCAGUACAUGUUUUUCAUGAACUUCAGUUUAAUCAUGAUUCCUUCUUUCCAUGAGGGAUUCAUGAUAGGCUGUUACCACUAUUUUUAAGAAAAGAGCAGAGAUCCUUCAUGAAGUACUGUAGUUGAGUGUGAGGCUUGGCUCACACUGCCUCUGCUACUCAGAGUUCAUUGCUUCAGUGCAGACAUGGCUAAUACCUGGCACUUGUGCGGCAACCAACUCCUCUCAUGCCCACAGCAGGCAUUGCUUAUCAGUCUCUGUCAUCUGUCAUCUGUCAUCCCAAGCAUGGAUAGGGCCUCAGAAUCCUUCUUAACACCACAAUUCAGGCAACCUCUGUCUAUUGAUUGUCCUUGGCAUUUGAGAUGAAAGCUAUCUUGCAUCCUUGUGUGUGUGUGUGUGUAUUUAUACAUGGGAAAUAUUUAUAUAUUAUCAGCAUAUAAUUAAAUCUAGCUAGCUAUAUAUUACAUCUAUAUACAGAGAUCCAAAUACCUAUAUUAUAUCUAACUGUCUGCUAAUGGUGUAGUCAUAUUCCUUAGUAUCUGCAGCUAAUAUGAGAUAUAGAUUGAUAUCUUAGUAUAUGAAAACUUGAAGUCACCUUUGACUCUUCUCUUUGUCUCAUACUCCACAUCUACCAGUCUUCUGGUAAAUUGCCUGUUUGUUCUCAGAAACAGCAAGUCCUUGAAUAAUAUCCUUUUGUUCAAUGUUAUUUUUUUAUAACAUUGAUGAGAAAAAAAAAUCAAUUCCUGCCAGGCCACUGUCUGUGUGGAGUUGGUAUGUCUCCCCAUGUCUGUGUGGGUUUUCUCCAGGGACUUCAGGUUCCUCUCACAUCCCAAGGCUAUGCGUGAGAGAUAAAUUGGUGUGUCUACAUGGUCCCAGCAUCAGUGAGCAUAAGUGUUCUGCAAAGGAACUGUGUCCUGUCCAGGGCUGGUUCCUGCUUUGUGUCCUAACUGCUGGGAUAGAUUCCAGCCACCUGCAACCCUGAGCUGGAAUAAUUGGGAAAAUAAUGGACUUACUUGUUUUUAUUCACCUUUCUUAAGUACGUGUACAGUUCACAUGUGUUUCAAUGUUUAAUAUUAGAAGUGUUCUGGUCUCUGUUUAGAAGUUUAGUAAUGUUUCUGUGACCAGGAAUAUGCCCUAGGAACUCAGCUCUUGCUUGUAUCAAUUAGCCUCGGAUAAAGUUGGUUUCUUUAUAUGUUGUUUUGCCUAAAGUCACAGCUUCUGAGAACCUACAACUUUAAGCAAGGACUUACUGUGCAUUCUUCUCCUUUCCCCUGCUCCACUCUGCACCAUAGGAACUACAUUUUCCAGGCUCCCUUUAUUUCUGGCUUCUGGGAAGGUUCAGCCAAUGGGAAGCAAUAGCAGAAGGCAGAAGCCUGGACAGUAAGAGGAGGGGGGGAAACAAGGCAUUUCUCCCCUUCUCUGUGUCCUGUGCUGUUCCUAGCAGCACCCACUUCUCCCUCACUGCUCUAACUUCCACCAUGUGCCCCUUCCCAUCCAUGGUUUUAGCUUCCAUUGGACAGUCCAGCUUCUAGACUCUAAUGUCACUCUGCCAUUUCCCUCCAUCCUUAAAGAGGGUGGUGACUUCCUGCUCUGCUAAUUUCUAGAUCAUGACUGUCUCCUGUUGAGUAUCUCAGCUAUUCCAUUAUUUGGAUAAGCCGUUUACUGUAUUGAAUUCCCUCUACUGAAAGGCCUAAAAUAGUUCCCAUUCCAUGCUAGGCCCUGACCAAUACAAUCAGGAAAUUCUGUUUGUGCAACUUUAAUCCAGUCAUUCUUCACCAUUUGUUUUUUGCUACCAUCAGCUCUUGCCUAGAUGACCACAUUAGUUUCCCAACUGUGCUUCCACUCUCUCCUCCUGAUAGCCUGUUCUUCAUACAAAAGCCAAGGCAUCCCUUAGAAACUGUAAAUCAGGUCAUCCCACUCCCCUGUUAAAACUCCUCAGAUGGUUUCCCUUUGCUGACAAUGAAUCCUAAAAUUCUCCCCACAGCCUAUAAGGUCCGAUAUAAGUGGCUCCUAGAUUCUUCUCCACACUAUUUCUCUUCCUCUCUGUGGUUCUGCUCCAGCCAUAAUGGUCCAGGGACACGUCACACAUACCCCUCCUUCAGGGCCUUUGCACUUGCUAUACCCGCUACCUAACAUGUUCCUCUUUCGAUUAGUCACGUUUCAGUGUUUCACUUCAUUCAAACCUGACAGAGCAAGAGAAUCACCAUCUUGGACAAGCACCGCCAUUUUAAAAUGCCCCUUGAUCAAAAACCACCUAAAUCCAAAGGGCAUCAGCCUAAUGGCUAAGAUCAGCAUGACCAUAAAUCACAAAUGACAUCUCCGACCAGAAACAUUCCAACAAUAAGAUAAACCCCUCCCUGACUGGAGGGAUGUCAGCCCCAAGAUAGCCUCUCCUCCAACCACAGACAUUCCCACCCUGCAAUAAACUUCUCCCCGCCACAGAAAUAUUCCAAGCCCGUGAUAAGUUCUCUCACCCUGAACCCUUAAAUACUAUUAGUCUGUAAGAGAGAGCACUCUUGACAAAAAUUGGCCAGAAGCCCCUGUCAGGUUUAUUCUCCAAAAUAAACCUGUCUUUGACCUUUCAGCUGCUUUUCAUGUUUCUUUCCUUUCUUUACCUCUUACAAAACCUCUGUUCAAAUGUCCCUUCUUCAGAAAGGCCUUUCCCAAUCAGUCACUCUGAAGCCAUGCCCUCAUUAUAUCCCAUCUAUGAAGCCUGCUUGAUUUUAUUUUAUUUUAUUUUAUUUUAUUU
rnacentral:lncRNA from 1 species